UUAUCCCGCCGUUCGUUGCCAAGCGCUACGAUUGGUUGCUCUCUUGUCUUCCUUCGAUGUUCACUAGCAGCGUCCUCUGAAGGACGACAUGGUAAUACAACGUCGCUGUUGCCGAGGGAAUUUCGGAGUACGCAAUUGUCCCAGCUUCCACGGCGAUACAUUAUUCAAUUUUCGGAAGAAUCUAAUUCUCCUCAAUGCAAUGAGUAUAGAAGAAGUUUAUUCGACGAUGGGUAAAGGCCGAAGUACGAACGAAAACAAUGGAUGAAUGGUCCAAGAAAAGACCGUCUCUUUACUACACCAAGUGGCAAACGAGUCUGCUGCUGCUGCGAGAAGAGAGAGUAGAAGUAGAA
rnacentral:lncRNA from 1 species